GGGGGGUGCAAGCGUUGUUCGGAAUUAUUGGGCGUAAAGCGCGCGCAGGCGGCCAGGUAAGUCGGGUGUGAAAGCCCUCAGCUCAACUGAGGAAUUGCGCUCGAAACUGCUUGGCUUGAGUACAGGAGAGGGUGGCGGAAUUCCCGGUGUAGAGGUGAAAUUCGUAGAUAUCGGGAGGAACACCAGAGGCGAAGGCGGCCACCUGGCCUGUAACUGACGCUGAGGCGCGAAAGCGUGGGGAGCAAACAGGGAUUAGAUACCCUGGUAGUCCACGCCGUAAACGAUGUGCACUAGGUGUUGCGGGAGUUGACCCCUGCAGUGCCGCAGCUAACGCAUUAAGUGCACCGCCCUGGGAAGUACGGCCGCAAGGCUAA
rnacentral:rRNA from 1 species